UGUUGUUUUAGUUGGGUGCAGAGCUGCUCUGUGGUACAUGUGGUGUGGGUUUUAUGGUCUGCCUGUUCUUCCUCUUUUUGCUUCUGAGAUAGUAAUUCUGGCGUGUAAGGUAGAAGCGUGCUAAGAAAAGGACUAGUAGAAGAUCCCGGCUACACAAGGCCGACAUUAGGUUACAGCCCUCUCAACUGUCUUACUCAAGUCAUUUCAAUAGCGCCCAUGGAGUGAGACC